rnacentral:rRNA from 1 species
AGCAGCCGCGGUAAUUCCAGCUCCAAUAGCGUAUAUUAAAGUUGUUGCAGUUAAAAAGCUCGUAGUUGAAUUUCGGGGUCAGUAGGUUGGUCAUGCCACUGGUAUGUACUGGUCUCACUGAUUCCUCCUUCCUGAUGAGCCGUAAUGCCAUUAAUUUGGUGUUGCGAGGAAUCUGGACUGUUACUUUGAAAAAAUUAGAGUGUUUAAAGCAAGCUAACGCUUGAAUACAUUAGCAUGGAAUAAUGAAAUAGGACGUUCGAUCCUAUUUUGUUGGUUUCUAGGAUUGACGUAAUGAUUAAUAGGGAUAGUUGGGGGCAUUAGUAUUCAAUUGUCAGAGGUGAAAUUCUUGGAUUUAUUGAAGACUAACUACUGCGAAAGCAUUUGCCAAGGGUGUUUUCAUUAAUCAAGAACGAAAGUUAGGGGAUCGAAGACGAUCAGAUACCGUCGUAGUCUUAACCAUAAACUAUGCCGACUAGGGAUCGGAUGAUGUUAAUUUUUAAUGACUCAUUC